rnacentral:rRNA from 1 species
CAGCUUCUAAGCGUUGAUAUUUGAGUGACCGUACCGCAAACCGACACUGGUAGGUGGGUAGAAUAUACCAAGGGGAGCGAGAGAACCCUCGUUAAGGAAUUAGGCAAAUUUCCCCCGUACGUUCGCAAUAAGGGGGGCCUCUGGUGGUGAGCUUAAUCGCAAAGCUGCUGGAGGCCGCAGAGAAAUGGCUCUUCCAACUGUUUAACAAAAACACAGGUCUCUGCUAAGUCGAAAGACGAAGUAUAGGGGCUGACGCCUGCCCAGUGCUGGAAGGUUAAGGGGAGAGGUUAGGCGCAAGCCGAAGCUUUGAGCCGAAGCCCCAGUGAACGGCGGCCGUAACAAUAACGGUCCUAAGGUAGCGAAAUUCCUUGUCGGGUAAGUUCCGACCCGCACGAAUGGCGUAAUGAGAGGAGCACUGUCUCAACGAGGGACUCGGCGAACAUUGAAGGACGUGUGAAGAUACACGUGACCCGCAGCGGGACAAAAAGACCCCGUGAAGCUUUACUACAACUUGCCAUUGAGUUAGGGCUAAACCUGUGUAGUAUAGGUGGGAGGCUUUGAAGCUGGGACGCCAGUCUCGGUGGAGCCACCGUUGAAAUACCACCCUGGUUUAUUCUUGGCUCUAACCUGUCGCCGUUAUCCGGCAUGGGAACAGUGGCUGGUGGGUAGUUUGACUGGGGCGGUCGCCUCCGAAAGCGUAACAGAGGCGCCCAAAGGUUCCCUCAGGCUGAAUGGAAACCAGCCGUUGAGUGUAAAGGCACAAGGGAGCUUGACUGCAAGACCAACAAGUCGCGCAGGGACGAAAGUCGGGCUUAGUGAUCCCACGGUUCAGAGUGGAAUGGCCGUGGCUUACCGGAUAAAAGCUACUCCGGGGAUAACAGGGUAGUCUGGUCCAAGAGUUCAUAUCGACGACCAGGUUCGCCACCUCGAUGUCGGCUCAUCACAUCCUGGGGCUGGAUAAGGUCCCAAGGGUUGGGCUGUUCGCCCAUUAAAGUGGUACGUGAGCUGGGUUCAGACCGUCGUGAGACAGGUCGGUCUCUAUCCGCUGUGGGCGUAAGGGAUUUGAGAGAAGCUGCCCCUAGUACGAGAGGACCGGGGUGGACGGACCUCUAGUGUGCCAGUUGUUCUGCCAAGAGCAUUGCUGGGUAGCUACGUCCGGCAGAGAUAACCGCUGAAAGCAUCUAAGUGGGAAACUCGUCUCAAGAUUAGAUCCCUCAUCCGUAUGGAGUAAGACCGCUAGAAGACUACUAGUUUGAUAGGCGGCAGGUGUAAGCGCAGUAAUGUGUUCAGCUU